UUCAGCCAGUGGCUGCUCACCCACUACAGCUAUCGACCUACUGUGGCGACCUAUCACGGCAUCCUCCCUAGCCGGAAGAAGGGGAUAGAGAGAGAAGAGAGAUAGGAGAGCUAACAUGCAGGCCCAAAGGCAUUUCAAAACUUUCACGUGAUUUCUCUCUCCUCUCCAACCACAAAUUAUUAUUUUAAAGCGUGCGGUGUCCACCGGUAAAUAUCAAACUUUAAAGAGUGUAUUUCCCCAAAAGUCACUUUAUGCAGUGUCCUGCAGCUAAAACCACAAAGUCAUAAUGUCCUUUAUCCAACUAUAAUGAAAAUGUUCGGAUGAUAAAUUACCUUAAGAAAAAAAAAGUACGAAUUAUCCCCCUGAACUAUUUAGGUCGUCUGAAUUACCCCCUUAGACUUUAAAACUAGACAUUUGACACCCUCAACUACUAAAACUAGACAAAUAACCCCCCUAACCCAAUCUGGAGUGGUUUUGAUCCUACGUGGCAUACGCGUGACAGUCCAGUCAGCAAUUCUUUAAAAAAGUUCGGUGGGCCCACUUGUCAUAUCUAUCCCUCACCUCUAUCCUCUUGUCUUUCUCAAUCCGUAUCCCUCUCUAUCUCUUCUCUUGAAUUCCUCUCCUCGCUAAAGCAUGCGACAGCGGCCGACCGUCGAGCUUGCCGGCCGGGCUUUCUCCUCCUCGGCACAACAAGCACACCACCAAGUCGCCACUCUCGAAGGCAGUUGCCGGAGACCGUCGUUGUUGAGGAGCCACGGUGAGGAGCUCGAUCCCCUUAUCACGCUCGCGAAUUGAGGAGAAGGUGUCGUGGCGGUUGCCGGUCGAGAGCUCGAAGGCGCCACGGCCUCGUCGUCGUCUCCACCUCCAUCUUGAUCUGCCUCCUUCGACGCUGCUAGGAAGUUGCAGAGCUCAUGCUCGAGGAGGCGGCCACCGACGUGGAUCUCCUUCUCGGCCACAUGCGUGGAUCUCCUCCUCGGCCACCGGCGCGGAUCUCCUCCUCGGCCACAGGCACCGAUUGAACUCCACCGCCGGCUCCCUGAGGGGACCAGCCUCCGUCGCCAUGUGCCUCCUAUGCGGCUGACGGACGCCACUUCCGGUCAACACGCCUUGGCCCUAUCUCUUCUGCCCUCUCUCUCUCUCUCUCCCCGCGCGCCGCCGUCCACCCGCCGCCGCCCACCGCCCGUUCGCAGCCACUUGCUCGAGCGCGUUCACGGGAGAGAGAGAGAGCGAGCGAGCGACCGGGUAGGAAGAGACAUGACAUGUGGGCCCAUGGAUUCUUUUUGCUGAUUGAAUUGCCACGUUAGUGCCAUGCGUGCAAGAUCAAGUCAAAACUGCUCAAAACAGUGUCGAGGGGGUAAUUCGUCCAGUAUUGAAAGUUUAGGGUAAGCAAUGUCUGGUUUUUGGGUUAGGAGGGUAAUAUGGUCGACCGUAAUAAUUAAGGAGGGUAAUUCGUACUUUUUUCAA